AAAUAAGUGAACGAAAUGAAAAAGACGUUUAAAUUUCAGCGUUGUGAAUGGACGACAGCUGAGCACUGUUGCGUCCCUCAGUAAAAUUCAAUUCGGCUAUUAGUUUUCACACUUUCCCCUCCGACGACCAACAAAGAAAGAAAUGGAUCUCAAAUAUAAGAAGUCAACCUAACCAUCUCUCACCAUACCCGUGUGUGUAGUCGACACACAGAGCCGGCUGAACUAGGAGGUAGGCGGAGGCUGAAGCCUGGUGCCGUGUUGUUUCCCUGGAACAAUUACUCUCUUGGAGUGAGAAGGCUUGGAGUUUGGGAACGGAGAGCAAGGCCAGAAAUUGUGCAGAAUGGGGAAGAUGUUGGCCCAAUAUACGCCAACGACCAUGAUUACGGCACAGCUCCGGACCCCGCAUUUGUUGACGCUGUUCUCAGCGAAAACGAAAGAAUUCGCGACAAGAUUGUACAGUUGAGGCAGCAGCUGGAGCAGUUGUCACUCAAACAGCGUUUUGGGCUACAGCGUUUUUCAGGCUCUGACAGGGACAUCCGUUUCUACACAAGGGUCUCCUCUUAUGACCACCUGAUGCGGUUUUGGCAGCUCAUUGAACCAUCACUGCAAUUCAUGGUGCGAGUUUCCAGAGCAAGAAUUACAGUGACUCUGCAAAAAGUGCUGCCAUGUCUUUACAGCCAAUAGAUGAACUGUUCCUCUUCCUGAACUACCUUGCCCUUGGACUGAAACAGAGGGACCUGGCUGAUCGGUAUGGGGUCCAUCAAUCUACCGUCAGCAGGAUCAUCCUUACAUGGAGCAGUUUUUUUGUUCUGUAUUCUUGGCUCACAGCAAAUUUGGAUGCCCCAACACAAAAUUAAUGAGCACUUGCCAGUAGAGUUCAGAGAUUACGCAGACACUACCGUAAUCCUGGACUGCACAGAGCUCAGAUGCCAAACACCUACCGCUCCUUUGCUCCAAAGUGAAGUGUAUUCAAACUACAAGUCCUGAAUUCCUGAAAGGAAUGAUUGGCAUGGCCCCCCCAUGGUGCUAUAACCUUUGUUUCUCCCCUCUUUGCUGGCUCAGUAAGUGACAAGCAGCUCAUUGCAGAGUCAGGAACACUUACAUUACUUAGGCAGGAUAUGGCAAUAAUGGUGGACAGAGGCUUUCUUGUGGAUGACUGUGUGUCCUGUAAAGUGUACAGGCUUGCAUUUCCUUCUGGGAGACCUCAGAUGCCAGCACACGAGGUCAAGGAGACCCAGGCUAUUGCACAUCUGAGAGUGCAUGUUGAGCACCUUAUUCACCAUUUAAAGGAACACAAAUUCUUUGACACGGUCAUCCCCCUAAAUAUGUGUGGUAACAUUUAACCAGCUCUCUGUAGUUGCAUGCCUUCUGUUAAAUUACCAGAGUGACCCACUUGUAAAAGCUUGGUCUAAAUAGACACAUCAAGACCAGUGCGCAGUUCUGUUUAGUAUUUAAACUAUUUUACUGUUGUUAGCUACUGCUAUUGUUACAUGAUAUAGAAUGGAUUUACAUCUCUACAACUUCAUACAGGGAUCUGUAUUUUCCCCUCAUUUUCAGUUUCAUACUUCUAGUGAAUAAACCCACAUUUGUUUGUAAAUGCCUUUUUUUUUAAUGGCUCCCCAAAGCAUUGUGUAUUUUAUUGUGCUUCAUUACAAACAGCAUUUAAACAAUACUAUUUUUAGGUAUUAAUGAGUUAUAACCUCAAACAUAAAUAACAUUUAUAAGAAAAUAUGUAAUUUAAUAAAUUAAUGAUGACAUGUUCAACUACAUAACAUAAUUUGUAUACAUUGUAUACUAGAAUUCUGUUCUAUUAGAAUAUACACUAUAUUGCCAAAAGUAUUCGCUCAUCUGCCUUUAGACGCAUAUGAACUUAAGUGACAUCCCAUUCUUAAUCCAUAGGGUUUAAUAUGACGUUGGCCCACCCUUUGCAGCUAUAACAGCUUCAACUCUUCUGGGAAGGCCUUCCACAAGGUUUAGGAAUGUGUUUAUGGGAAUUUUUGACCAUUCUUCCAGAAGCGCAUUUGUGAGGUCAGACACUGAUGUUGGACGAGAAGGCCUGGCUCGCAGUCUUCGCUCUAAUUCAUCCCAAAGGUGCUCUGUCGGGUUGAGGUCAGGACUAUGUGCAGGCCAGUCAAGUUCUUCCACACCAAACUCGCUCAUCCAUGUUUUUAUGGACCUUGCUUUGUGCACUGGUGCGCAGUCAUGUUGGAACAGGAAGGGGCCAUCCCCAAACUGUUCCCACAAAGUUGGGAGCAUGGAAUUGUCCAAAAUCUCUUGGUAUGCUGAAGCAUUCAGAGUUCCUUUCACUGGAACUAAGGGGCCAAGCCCAGCUGCUGAAAAACAACCACACACCAUAAUCUCCCCUCCACCAAACUUCACAGUUGGCACAAUGCAGUCAGACAAGUACCGUUCUCCUGGCAACCGCCAAACCCAGACUCGUCCAUCAGAUUGCCAGAUGGAGAAGCAUGAUUCGUCACUCCAGAGAAUGCGUCUCCACUGCUCUAGAGUCCAGUGGCGGCGUGCUUUUCACCACUGCAUCCGACGCUUUGCAUUGCACUUGGUGAUGUAUGGCUUGGAUGCAGCUGCUCGGCCAUGGAAACCCAUUCCAUGAAGCUCUCUACGCACUGUUCUUGAGCUAAACUGAAGGCCACAUGAACUUUGGAGGUCUGUAGUGAUUGACUCUGCAGAAAGUUGGCGACAUCUGCGCACUAUGCACCUCAGCAUCCGCUGACCCCGCUCUGUCAUUUUACAUGGCCUACCACUUCAUGGCUGAGUUGCCGUCAUUCCCAAUCGCUUUCACUUUGUUAUAAUACCACUGACAGUUGACUGUGGAAUAUUUAGUAGCGAGGAAAUUUCAUGACUGGACUUGUUGCACAGGUGGCAUCCUAUCACAGUACCACGCUGGAAUUCACUGAGCUCCUGAGAGCGGCCCAUUCUUUCACAAAUGUUUGUAGAAGCAGUCUGCAUGCCUAGGUGCUUCAUUUUAUACACCUGUGGCCAUGGAAGUGAUUGGAACACUUGAAUUCAAUUAUUUGGAUGGGUGAGCGAAUACUUUUGGCAAUAUAGUGUAUUUGUCGCAGAUGACAAUAGUGAGCACAUGAAAACUGCUCAGAAAUGUAAUGAAAACCAAACUAUUUGAACUUUGUAAAGUUGUAAAGAUUUGUAAAAAUUAACAAUAGACUCUCUACAUUUGUAGAGAUUUGUACCAAUGAUCAAUACAUAUCAGUUAAAUUUUUGUAUAGAUUUGCAAAAAUGAACAAUAAAACCUGAACCAAAACA